AACGGUCUAUACCUGCGGUACCUGCGGAAGGAUCAUUAUUGAAAAUAACAAGAGUGUUCCAGUUGUAUUCCGUUGCUGGCCUUCUAAUCAAAGGCAUGUGCACGUCUAUACUGAGACGCCCUUUUAUUACUUAUCCACCUGUGCACACUUUGUAGUAGUUCUGAAUCGGCCGGCCCUCAAGCUGGAUUCGGUUCAGACUUCUAUGUCUUUACAAACGCUAUAGUAUGUCUAGAAUGGUAC
rnacentral:misc_RNA from 1 species